UUUUGAUAAAUCUCCCCCAUUAACUCUUAUUACACUAAAAAGACAUGGUUUUAUUCACGGGUGUGUGCCUGAAGUUCAAAACUACAACUUCCACCAUGCCCGGACAGCCGACGGCUGUCCGGGCAUGCUGGGAGUUGUAGUUUUGCAACAUCUGGGGGCACCCUGGUUGGGAAACACUGGAUCACCCUGAUGCUGAAGACUUUACUACUAUAAAGAAUAUAAAAUGGUUAUCCGCAUAGUGCUGCGGUUUGUUUACUUUGCACACUGCUUAUACAAGAGCUUCACAGCAUGAGGUACGAGGAGAUAAUGUGACUGGCCCCCGGCUACAACACUUGAUUCAAGGUGGAGUCUCAAGAAGCAUGAAGACUAUUCACUUUCCGUCCACACUGACUGCAGGUUUGGCCGCUUCCACCAGCAAGGUCUUUGUGUCAGAUGACUUAGGGCAAUGUAGUCUGGAGCCAUUGAUCUCACCACCCAGGCAGAUAGAAUGAAAAGCUGAACACCUGUUACAUCUCCUGAGAGAAAACAAGACUGGCUUCCAUCAGAUUGCUAAUGUUACCUAAUUGCUUACAGUGUAUUACACCUCCCAUUACACCUCACUGGCUUUACUUGACAAUUGAAUACACAGUUUUGUUCCUGGUUUUAAAAAUUAUUCUCAACAACGUCACUCUAGGACAUAAGAUAUUUGUUAUUGUUGAAUAUGUAGAGAUAAACCCUAUGGGUGCAAAACCACUUUGCCCCAAGCCCCACCCUACCCACUAGCACUGCCAUGUGCAUGCAUAACAUUCUGAACAUAGAUUCCAUGAUUGCUGUGUCUUCUACAACCCAAUUGCAUGUUAAAUGACGUCUUCUUUAUCAUUCCAUUAAAGAAUACCUGUCAAUGAAAUAAACUUUUGACA